CAGUAGGGAGGAAGGUAGUGUAGUUAACACCUGCACUAUUUGACGUUACCUACAGAAGAAGCACCGGCUAACUCCGUGCCAGCAGCCGCGGUAAUACGGAGGGUGCGAGCGUUAAUCGGAAUUACUGGGCGUAAAGCGCAUGCAGGCGGCCUGUUAAGUCAGAUGUGAAAGACCCGGGGCGUUAACCUCGGAAUUGCAUUUGAAACUGGCAGGCUAGAGUCUUGUAGAGGGGGGUAGGAAGUUUCUAGGUGUAGCGGUGAAAUAGCGUAGAGAUCUGAAGGAAUACCAGUGGCGAAGGCGGCCCCCUCGGACAAAGACUGACGCUCAGAUGCGAAAGCGUGGGGAGCAAACAGGAUUAGAUACCCUGGUAG
rnacentral:rRNA from 1 species